UUAAGUUAUUAAGGGCGCACGGUGGAUGCCUUGGCACUAGAAGCCGAUGAAGGACGUUACUAACGACGAUAUGCUUUGGGGAGCUGUAAGUAAGCUUUGAUCCAGAGAUUUCCGAAUGGGGAAACCCAGCAUGAGUUAUGUCAUGUUAUCGAUAUGUGAAUACAUAGCAUAUCAGAAGGCACACCCGGAGAACUGAAACAUCUUAGUACCCGGAGGAAGAGAAAGAAAAUUCGAUUCCCUUAGUAGCGGCGAGCGAAACGGGAAGAGCCCAAACCAACAAGCUUGCUUGUUGGGGUUGUAGGACACUCUAUACGGAGUUACAAAGGACGACAUUAGACGAAUCAUCUGGAAAGAUGAAUCAAAGAAGGUAAUAAUCCUGUAGUCGAAAAUGUUGUCUCUCUUGAGUGGAUCCUGAGUACGACGGAGCACGUGAAAUUCCGUUGGAAUCUGGGAGGACCAUCUCCUAAGGCUAAAUACUCUCUAGUGACCGAUAGUGAACCAGUACCGUGAGGGAAAGGUGAAAAGCACCCCGGAAGGGGAGUGAAAUAGAACCUGAAACCGUGUGCUUACAAGUAGUCAGAGCCCGUUAAUGGGUGAUGGCGUGCCUUUUGUAGAAUGAACCGGCGAGUUACGAUUUGAUGCAAGGUUAAGCAGUAAAUGUGGAGCCGUAGCGAAAGCGAGUCUGAAUAGGGCGUUUAGUAUUUGGUCGUAGACCCGAAACCAGGUGAUCUACCCUUGGUCAGGUUGAAGUUCAGGUAACACUGAAUGGAGGACCGAACCGACUUACGUUGAAAAGUGAGCGGAUGAACUGAGGGUAGCGGAGAAAUUCCAAUCGAACCUGGAGAUAGCUGGUUCUCUCCGAAAUAGCUUUAGGGCUAGCCUCAAGUGAUGAUUAUUGGAGGUAGAGCACUGUUUGGACGAGGGGCCCCUCUCGGGUUACCGAAUUCAGACAAACUCCGAAUGCCAAUUAAUUUAACUUGGGAGUCAGAACAUGGGUGAUAAGGUCCGUGUUCGAAAGGGAAACAGCCCAGACCACCAGCUAAGGUCCCAAAAUAUAUGUUAAGUGGAAAAGGAUGUGGCGUUGCCCAGACAACUAGGAUGUUGGCUUAGAAGCAGCCAUCAUUUAAAGAGUGCGUAAUAGCUCACUAGUCGAGUGACACUGCGCCGAAAAUGUACCGGGGCUAAACAUAUUACCGAAGCUGUGGAUUGUCCUUUGGACAAUGGUAGGAGAGCGUUCUAAGGGCGUUGAAGCAUGAUCGUAAGGACAUGUGGAGCGCUUAGAAGUGAGAAUGCCGGUGUGAGUAGCGAAAGACGGGUGAGAAUCCCGUCCACCGAUUGACUAAGGUUUCCAGAGGAAGGCUCGUCCGCUCUGGGUUAGUCGGGUCCUAAGCUGAGGCCGACAGGCGUAGGCGAUGGAUAACAGGUUGAUAUUCCUGUACCACCUAUAAUCGUUUUAAUCGAUGGGGGGACGCAGUAGGAUAGGCGAAGCGUGCGAUUGGAUUGCACGUCUAAGCAGUAAGGCUGAGUAUUAGGCAAAUCCGGUACUCAUUAAGGCUGAGCUGUGAUGGGGAGAAGACAUUGUGUCUUCGAGUCGUUGAUUUCACACUGCCGAGAAAAGCCUCUAGAUAGAAAAUAGGUGCCCGUACCGCAAACCGACACAGGUAGUCAAGAUGAGAAUUCUAAGGUGAGCGAGCGAACUCUCGUUAAGGAACUCGGCAAAAUGACCCCGUAACUUCGGGAGAAGGGGUGCUCUUUAGGGUUAACGCCCAGAAGAGCCGCAGUGAAUAGGCCCAAGCGACUGUUUAUCAAAAACACAGGUCUCUGCUAAACCGUAAGGUGAUGUAUAGGGGCUGACGCCUGCCCGGUGCUGGAAGGUUAAGAGGAGUGGUUAGCUUCUGCGAAGCUACGAAUCGAAGCCCCAGUAAACGGCGGCCGUAACUAUAACGGUCCUAAGGUAGCGAAAUUCCUUGUCGGGUAAGUUCCGACCCGCACGAAAGGCGUAACGAUUUGGGCACUGUCUCAACGAGAGACUCGGUGAAAUCAUAGUACCUGUGAAGAUGCAGGUUACCCGCGACAGGACGGAAAGACCCCGUGGAGCUUUACUGUAGCCUGAUAUUGAAAUUCGGCACAGCUUGUACAGGAUAGGUAGGAGCCUUUGAAACGUGAGCGCUAGCUUACGUGGAGGCGCUGGUGGGAUACUACCCUAGCUGUGUUGGCUUUCUAACCCGCACCACUUAUCGUGGUGGGAGACAGUGUCAGGCGGGCAGUUUGACUGGGGCGGUCGCCUCCUAAAAGGUAACGGAGGCGCUCAAAGGUUCCCUCAGAAUGGUUGGAAAUCAUUCAUAGAGUGUAAAGGCAUAAGGGAGCUUGACUGCGAGACCUACAAGUCGAGCAGGGUCGAAAGACGGACUUAGUGAUCCGGCGGUUCCGCAUGGAAGGGCCAUCGCUCAACGGAUAAAAGCUACCCCGGGGAUAACAGGCUUAUCUCCCCCAAGAGUUCACAUCGACGGGGAGGUUU
rnacentral:rRNA from 1 species